UCCGUAGGUGAACCUGCGGAAGGAUCAUUAACGAAUAACUAUGGUGUCUUGGUUGUAGCUGGCUCCUCGGAGCAAUGUGCACGCCCGCCAUUUUUAUCUUUCCACCUGUGCACCGACUGUAGGUCUGGAUACCUCUCGCCCUUCACGGGGCGGAUGCGAGGGUUGCCCGUCACACGGCUCCCCUCGAAUUUCCAGGCUCUACGUCUUUUUACACACCCCAAUAGUAUGAUGCAGAAUGUAGUCAAUGGGCUUCUCAGCCUAUAAAACACUAUACAACUUUCAGCAACGGAUCUCUUGGCUCUCGCAUCGAUGAAGAACGCAGCGAAAUGCGAUAAGUAAUGUGAAUUGCAGAAUUCAGUGAAUCAUCGAAUCUUUGAACGCACCUUGCGCUCCUUGGUAUUCCGAGGAGCAUGCCUGUUUGAGUGUCAUUAAAUUCUCAACCUCACCAGUUUUCUGAACUGUUCUUCGAGGCUUGGAUGUGGGGGUUUGUGCAGGCUGCCUCACGGCGGUCCGCUCCCCUGAAAUGCAUUAGCGAGUUCAUACUGAACUUCCGUCUAUUGGUGUGAUAAUUAUCUACGCCGUGGACGAGGAUCAGACUCGCUUCUAACCGUCCGCGAGGACAAUACCUUGACAAUUUGACCUCAAAUCAGGUAGGACUACCCGCUGAACUUAAGCAUAUCAAUAAGCGGAGGA
rnacentral:rRNA from 1 species